GGGCCCGCACAAGCGGUGGAGCAUGUGGUUCAAUUCGACGCAACGCGAAGAACCUUACCUGGGCUCGAAGCGCAGUGGACCGGGGUGGAAACAUCCCUUUUCGCAAGAACUGCUGCGGAGGUGCUGCAUGGCUGUCGUCAGCUCGUGUCGUGAGAUGUUGGGUUAAGUCCCGCAACGAGCGCAACCCUUAUCCCUAGUUGCCAUCGGGUCAAGCCGGGCACUCUAGUGAAACUGCCUCAGAUAAUGAGGAGGAAGGUGGGGAUGACGUCAAGUCCUCAUGGCCUUUAUGUCCAGGGCUACACACGUGCUACAAUGGCCGGUACAAACCGUCGCAAACCCGUGAGGGGGAGCUAAUCGGAAAAAGCCGGCCUCAGUUCGGAUUGGAGUCUGCAACCCGACUCCAUGAAGCUGGAAUCGCUAGUAAUCGCGGAUCAGAACGCCGCGGUGAAUACGUUCCCGGGCCUU
rnacentral:rRNA from 1 species